AUCAACACACAUAACCAACGACGGGCAAAUUUGUUCACAGUCAAUUAUGUCCUUUUUAUUUCAUGUUUUAUCCUUUUCCUACUUUUUCUCAUUUUUCCUUGUCAGUUCUUUAAC
rnacentral:ribozyme from 11 species